rnacentral:rRNA from 1 species
AGUGAACGCUGGCGGUAGGCCUAACACAUGCAAGUCGAACGGCAGCACAGUAAGAGCUUGCUCUUACGGGUGGCGAGUGGCGGACGGGUGAGGAAUACAUCGGAAUCUACUUUUUCGUGGGGGAUAAUGUAGGGAAACUUACGCUAAUACCGCAUACGACCUACGGGUGAAAGCAGGGGAUCUUCUGACCUUGCGCGAUUGUAUGAGCCGAUGUGGGAUUAGCUAGUUGGCGGGGUAAAGGCCCACCAAGGCGACGAUCCGUAGCUGGUCUGAGAGGAUGAUCAGCCACACGGGAAAUGAGACACGGACCAGACUCCUACGGGAGGAAGCAGUGGGGAAUAUUGGACAAUGGGCGCAAGCCUGAUACAGCCAUACCGCGUGGGUGAAGAAGGCCUUCGGGUUGUAAAGCCCUUUUGUUGGGAAAGAAAAGCAGCAGGUUAAUACCCCGCUGUUCUGACGGUACCCAAAGAAUAAGCACCGGCUAACUUCGUG